UGGGGAAUAUUGGGCAAUGGGGGGAACCCUGACCCAGCAACGCCGCGUGAAGGAAGAAGGUUUUCGGAUUGUAAACUUCUGUCCUUGGUGAAGAGGAAGAGACGGUAGCCAAGGAGGAAGCCCCGGCUAACUACGUGCCAGCAGCCGCGGUAAGACGUAGGGGGCGAGCGUUGUCCGGAAUUACUGGGCGUAAAGAGCACGUAGGCGGGAUUUUAAGUCAGGUGUGAAAGACCGUGGCUCAACCACGGGGUUGCACUUGAAACUGGGAUUCUUGAGGGCAGGAGAGGAAAGUGGAAUUCCUGGUGUAGCGGUGAAAUGCGUAGAAAUCAGGAGGAACACCGGUGGCGAAGGCGACUUUCUGGACUGACCCUGACGCUGAGGUGCGAAAGCGUGGGUAGCAAACAGG
rnacentral:rRNA from 1 species